rnacentral:rRNA from 1 species
AUUGAACGCUGGCGGCAGGCCUAACACAUGCAAGUCGAGCGAGCGGCGGACGGGUGAGUAAUGUCUGGGAAACUGCCUGAUGGCGGGGGAUAACUACUGGAAACGGUAGCUAAUACCGCAUACCAUCAGAUGUGCCCAGCUGGGAUUAGCUCGUGGGUGGGGUAAUGGCUCACCUAGGCAACGAUCCCUAGCUGGUCUGGGAGGAUGACCAGCCACACUGGAACUGCGACACGGGCCAGACUCCGACGGGAGGCAGCAGUGGGGAAUGUGGCACAAUGGGCGCAAGCCUGAUGAGGCCAUGCCGCGUGUGUGAAGAAGGCCUUCGGGUUGUAAGGCACUUUCAGCGGGGAGGCGUUACCCGCAGAAGAAGCACCGGCUAACUCCGUGCCAGCAGCCGCGGUAAUUC